GGAGAGGUGGCAGAGUGGUCGAUCGCGCCCGCCUCGAAAGCGGGAGUACCUGUGAGGGUACCGGGAGUUCGAAUCUCCCCCUCUCCGCCA
rnacentral:tRNA from 1 species